UAAAAAACUAUGAACAGGGAAAGUAAUUAAAAUUACCUGUUUUGAGCGAGCCGGGGAUGGUGAAAGCCCGGUAACAGGGAUUUUAAUGAAGUUCCCCUGGGAGUUGUGCGCUGAACCUUUAAUGAAGUUACCCUGGGAGUUGUGGGCUGAUUCAUUGAGUAUUAGGCUUUUACCGGUUGUCGGCCGUUACCCCGACACGGUUAUAGAAGUAAUACCUUCCGUAGCCGGAUUGAGCGGGUCAUUGACCAAAAAGGAUGGUACCGCGGGAUAAUAAACCUCGUUCCUUCA
rnacentral:ncRNA from 1 species